AACUUUCAACAACGGAUCUCUUGGUUCUGGCAUCGAUGAAGAACGCAGCGAAAUGCGAUAAGUAAUGUGAAUUGCAGAAUUCAGUGAAUCAUCGAAUCUUUGAACGCACAUUGCGCCCGCCAGCAUUCUGGCGGGCAUGCCUGUUC
rnacentral:rRNA from 1 species